rnacentral:piRNA from 1 species
UGAUUCUUAACCUAUGUCUGGAAGUGU